rnacentral:rRNA from 1 species
UUGACCCGGCGAUGUCCGAAUGGGGAAACCCAGUGCAAUCCGUUGCACUAUCGUUAACUGAAUACAUAGGUUAACGAGGCGAACCGGGGGAACUGAAACAUCUAAGUACCCCGAGGAAAAGAAAUCAACCGAGAUUCCCCCAGUAGCGGCGAGCGAACGGGGAGCAGCCCGGAGUCUGAAUCAGCUUGUGUGUUAGUGGAACGGUCUGGAAAGUCCGACGGUACAGGGUGAUAGUCCCGUACACGAAAGCACACUUGCUGUGAACUCGAAGAGUAGGGCGGGACACGUGGUAUCCUGUCUGAAUAUGGGGGGACCAUCCUCCAAGGCUAAAUACUCCUGACUGACCGAUAGUGAACCAGUACCGUGAGGGAAAGGCGAAAAGAACCCCGGCGAGGGGAGUGAAAAAGAACCUGAAACCGUGUACGUACAAGCAGUGGGAGCCUCUUUAUGGGGUGACUGCGUACCUUUUGUAUAAUGGGUCAGCGACUUAUAUUCUGUAGCAAGGUUAACCGUAUAGGGGAGCCGAAGGGAAACCGAGUCUUAACUGGGCGUUAAGUUGCAGGGUAUAGACCCGAAACCCGGUGAUCUAGCCAUGGGCAGGUUGAAGGUUGGGUAACACUAACUGGAGGACCGAACCGACUAAUGUUGAAAAAUUAGCGGAUGACCUGUGGCUGGGGGUGAAAGGCCAAUCAAACCGGGAGAUAGCUGGUUCUCCCCGAAAGCUAUUUAGGUAGCGCCUCGUGAACUCAUCUUCGGGGGUAGAGCACUGUUUCGGCUAGGGGGCCAUCCCGGCUUACCAACCCGAUGCAAACUACGAAUACCGAAGAAUGUUAUCACGGGAGACACACGGCGGGUGCUAACGUCCGUCGUGAAGAGGGAAACAACCCAGACCGCCAGCUAAGGUCCCAAAGUCAUGGUUAAGUGGGAAACGAUGUGGGAAGGCACAGACAGCCAGGAUGUUGGCUUAGAAGCAGCCAUCAUUUAAAGAAAGCGUAAUAGCUCACUGGUCGAGUCGGCCUGCGCGGAAGAUGUAACGGGGCUAAACCAUGCACCGAAGCUGCGGCAGCGACGCUUA